AGAGUUUGAUCAUGGCUCAGAACGUACGCUGGCGGCACGCCUAACACAUGCAAGUCGAACGAGGUAGCAAUACUUAGUGGCAGACGGGUGAGUAACAUGUGGGUAUCUGCCCUUUGGCCUGGAAUAACACGAGGAAACCUGUGCUAAUACUGGAUAAGUCUUUACGGAGAAAGCUUUAUGCACCAUUGGAUGAGCCCGCACUUGAUUAGUUUGUUGGUGGGGUAAUGGCCUACCAAGACUGUGAUCAAUAGCUGAUUUGAGAGGAUGAUCAGCCACAUUGGGACUGAGACACGGCCCAAACUCCUACGGGAGGCAGCAGUGGGGAAUCUUGCACAAUGGAGGAAACUCUGAUGCAGCGAUGCCGCGUGAGUGAAGAAGGCCUUUGGGUUGUAAAGCUCUUUCGUCGGGGAAGAAAAUGACUGUACCCGAAUAAGAAGGUCCGGCUAACUUCGUGCCAGCAGCCGCGGUAAUACGAAGGGACCUAGCGUAGUUCGGAAUUACUGGGCUUAAAGAGUUCGUAGGUGGUUGAAAAAGUUGGUGGUGAAAUCCCAGAGCUUAACUCUGGAACUGCCAUCAAAACUUUUCAGCUAGAGUAUGAUAGAGGAAAGCAGAAUUUCUAGUGUAGAGGUGAAAUUCGUAGAUAUUAGAAAGAAUACCAAUUGCGAAGGCAGCUUUCUGGAUCAUUACUGACACUGAGGAACGAAAGCAUGGGUAGCGAAGAGGAUUAGAUACCCUCGUAGUCCAUGCCGUAAACGAUGUGUGUUAGACGUUGGAAAUUUAUUUUCAGUGUCGCAGCGAAAGCGAUAAACACACCGCCUGGGGAGUACGACCGCAAGGUUAAAACUCAAAUGAAUUGACGGGGACCCGCACAAGUAGUGGAGCAUGUGGUUUAAUUCGAAGAUACGCGCAGAACCUUACCAACACUUGACAUGUUCGUCGCGACUUUAAGAGAUUAAAGUUUUCGGUUCGGCCGGACGAAACACAGGUGCUGCAUGGCUGUCGUCAGCUCGUGUCGUGAGAUGUUGGGUUAAGUCCCGCAACGAGCGCAACCCUCACUUUUAGUUGCCAUCAUUUAGUUGGGCACUCUGAAAGAACUGCCAGUGAUAAGCUGGAGGAAGGUGGGGAUGACGUCAAGUCCUCAUGGCCCUUACGUGUUGGGCUACACACGUGCUACAAUGGUAUCUACAACAGGAAGCAAAACUGCGAAGUUAAGCAAAUCCUUAAAAGAUACCUCAGUUCGGAUUGCACUCUGCAACUCGAGUGCAUGAAGCUGGAAUUACUAGUAAUCGUGGAUCAGCGUGCCACGGUGAAUGCGUUCCCGGGUCUUUAGACACCGCCCGU
rnacentral:rRNA from 1 species